rnacentral:rRNA from 1 species
UACGUAGGGAGCAAGCGUUGUUCGGAUUUACUGGGCGUAAAGGGCGCGUAGGCGGCAUAUUAAGUCAUCUGUGAAAUCUCCGAGCUUAACUCGGAACUGUCAGCUGAUACUGAUGUGCUAGAGUGCGGAAGGGGCAAUCGGAAUUCUUGGUGUAGCGGUGAAAUGCGUAGAUAUCAAGAGGAACACCUGAGGUGAAGACGGGUUGCUGGGCCGACACUGACGCUGAGUGCGCGAAAGCUAGGGGAGCGAACGGG